GAGGGCUUUCACCUGCCCUGCCGGGGAGCCGGGGCCUCAGCCCUGGCCUGCCUCCCCACUCGUCCGCACCUCCUGCUUCCUCAUGGAGUCCGGGAUUGCUGCCAGGAGCUGUGAAGAGAGGGCCUGAAGUGCUGUGUGCCGUGUCACCACCCUGGCCUGGGACAGCACCCAGCAGGCACCUGCGACCCAGCUGUACCCCACAGUGUCUUCCCAGAGGCAGGCCGGCUGCACCCUGAAACAGCAGAGUGUGGCAGUUCCCUCAGGCCCCGGAGGUGGGCCUCAGCAUGUGGGCGGCACUGAGAGCGAAGGGGUGAAGGGGAAGGGCAUGCCCAGAGUGGACGACAGGAGAAGCAUGACAAUAGAGGAAAAGUGCAGGACAUCCUCCAGUGACAGGGAGCAAGCCAUGGAGGCAAGCAGUGCCUUCCGAGGCCCCAGCAGCUGGCCAGGGGCCAGGUGAGACGCAUGGGGCUUGCCCUUGAGAAGCCUGCUGAGGCUGCAGGUCGUCAGAGCGCACUGUAGCCACGGCUGUGAGGUGCACUGAAGGCGUCUGAAACCAGGUCGCCCACAGGAUGUUGGAAGCCGCAGG